rnacentral:rRNA from 1 species
UACGGAGGGGGCUAGCGUUGUUCGGAAUUACUGGGCGUAAAGGGCGCGUAGGCGGCCUUCUAAGUCGAACGUGAAAUCCCCGGGCUCAACCCGGGAACUGCGUCCGAGACUGAAAGGCUUGAAUCCGGGAGAGGGAUGUGGAAUUCCAGGUGUAGCGGCGAAAUGCGUAGAUAUCUGGAGGAACAUCGGUGGCGAAGGCGGCAUCCUGGACCGGUAUUGACGCUGAGGCGCGAAAGCCAGGGGAGCAAACGGG